UACGUAGGGGGCAAGCGUUGUCCGGAUUUAUUGGGCGUAAAGAGCUCGUAGGUGGUUCGGUAAGUCGGAUGUGAAAUCUCCAGGCUCAACCUGGAGGGGUCAUUCGAUACUGCCGUGACUAGAGGUCGGUAGGGGAGUGUGGAAUUCCUGGUGGAGCGGUGAAAUGCGCAGAUAUCAGGAGGAACACCAGUGGCGAAGGGGGCGACCUGGCCAAUAUUGACGCUGAGAAGCGAAAGCAUGGGGAGCGAACAGG
rnacentral:rRNA from 1 species